rnacentral:rRNA from 1 species
GAAUUUUGGGCAAUGGCCGAAAGGCUGACCCAGCGACGCCGCGUGCGGGAGGACGCCCUUCGGGGUGUAAACCGCUGUCAGAGGGGACGAAUGGCCCAGGCGGGAAUACUGUCUGGGUGUGACGGUACCCUCAGCGGACGCACCGGCUACCUCUGUGCCAGCAGCCGCGGUAAUACAGAGGGUGCGAGCGUUGUUCGGAAUCACUGGGCGUAAAGCGCGCGCAGGCGGGACUUGCAAGUCGGGAGUGAAAGGCCGGGGCUCAACCCCGGAGCUGCUUUCGAGACUGCGGACCUGGAGACCAGUAGGGGUUGGUGGAAUUCCCGGUGUAGCGGUGGAAUGCGUAGAUAUCGGGAAGAACACCCGUGGCGAAGGCGGCCAACUGGGCUGGAUCUGACGCUGAGGCGCGAAAGCGUGGGGAGCAAACAG